rnacentral:rRNA from 1 species
AUUGAACGCUGGCGGCAGGCCUAACACAUGCAAGUCGCGCGAGCGGCGGACGGGUGAGUAAUGUAUGGGGACUGCCCGAUAGAGGGGGAUACCUCCUGGAAACGGUGGCUAAUACCGCAUACUAUCGGAUAACCCAUAUGGGAUUAGCUAGUAGGUGGGGGAAAGGCUAACCAAGGCCACGAUGCAUAGCCGACCUGAGAGGAUGAUCAGCCACACGGGGACUGAGACACGGCCCAGACUCCGACGGAGGCCGAAGUGGGGAAUAUGGCACAAUGGGCGCAAGCCUGAUGCAGCCAUGCCGCGUGUAUGAAGAAGGCCUUAGGGUUGUAAAGUACUUUCAGCGGGGAGGCGUUACCCGCAGAAGAAGCACCGGAUAACUCCGUGCCAGCAGCCGCGGGAAUAC